UUUUGAUUUUGUUUCUUUGUUCUUGUUACAGACUAGCCUACAGAGUGUGUGACCAGUUAACCAACAUCAACAAGUGACGCAAUCGUUAUCAGGUCCUGGUGCAGUAUGCCAGCAACAUCAUUAUGCCUCUUGAGGUAUUCAGUGCCUACCAUUGACUGGCAGGAAGACACAAUGUGCUGUACUGUCUCUGAUGCCAUACCACAGCGUCUACAAAGGUCAUCGUUCAAAGGUAGCUUCAUUAUAUAUUUUUUGUAAUUUUUGGUGGCUAUCACUUGGUCUUGUAUAGCCACCAUGAAGCCUUCUGUUUCGAUGAACAAGUCACCAUGCUUUAGCCAGAUAUUUGAUUCAUCUGCAUCCAUAUCAGGCUUUCCUAAUGCAAAUGCAUGCAACUGUUUUCUGCUCCACUGCUCCAGGGCCUCGCUUUCAUGCUGAUUGCUACUUUGGGCAGCAUUAAUGUUUCGCUCUGAUAAGUUGAGAGGGGUGUAUUUCUUGUCUGCUUCUCUGACUAUUUUAUUAUUAUUAUUAUUACAUCAUAAUUAUUUGGCUUCAUCAUUAAGUUAUUUAAUCAUUCAAUUACUGUUGUGAUCAUUUGGACACGCCAGGCGCAAACGGGAUGAAAAUGAUUCUUUCUCUAACAUGCAGUAAUAGCAUAAACGUUCAUCUUCUAUCAAAUUUAUCCUGCGAUAAGUUGUCAAUACUUGAGACUGAAGCUAGAGAUAAUGUCCAGAGAAGUAUUUUAGAGAAUUCUCAGCGUGGGUUAACCCAAUUGAAGUUACCGUAUCACAAAUAGGAAAGAAAUAAUAUUAUCAUUUCUUGAAGAUGAUUUAGAGGGUUUUAGAUAGCCUAAGGUAGUAAGG